rnacentral:tRNA from 1 species
GGAGAGGUGGCUGAGUGGUCGAAAGCGGCAGCCUGCUAAGUUGUUAGGGGAGCAAUCCCCUCGAGGGUUCGAAUCCCUCCCUCUCCG